AGUGAACGCUGGCGGUAGGCCUAACACAUGCAAGUCGAACGGCAGCACAGUAAGAGCUUGCUCUUACGGGUGGCGAGUGGCGGACGGGUGAGGAAUACAUCGGAAUCUACUUUUUCGUGGGGGAUAACGUAGGGAAACUUACGCUAAUACCGCAUACGACCUACGGGUGAAAGCAGGGGAUCUUCGGACCUUGCGCGAUUGAAUGAGCCGAUGUCGGAUUAGCUAGUUGGCGGGGUAAAGGCCCACCAAGGCGACGAUCCGUAGCUGGUCUGAGAGGAUGAUCAGCCACACUGGAACUGAGACACGGUCCAGACUCCUACGGGAGGCAGCAGUGGGGAAUAUUGGACAAUGGGCGCAAGCCUGAUCCAGCCAUACCGUGUGGGUGAAGAAGGCCUUCGGGUUGUAAAGCCCUUUUGUUGGGAAAGAAAAGCAGCAGGUUAAUACCCCGCUGUUCUGACGGUGCCCAAAGAAUAAGCACCGGCUAACUUCGUG
rnacentral:rRNA from 1 species